AUUGAACGCUGGCGGCAUGCUUUACACAUGCAAGUCGAACGGUAACAGGGUGCUUGCACCGCUGACGAGUGGCGAACGGGUGAGUAAUGCGUCGGAACGUGCCGAGUAGUGGGGGAUAACGCAGCCAAAGUUGUGCUAAUACCGCAUACGUACUGAGGUAGAAAGUGGGGGACCUUCGGGCCUCACGCUAUUCGAGCGGCCGACGUCUGAUUAGCUAGUAGGUGAGGUAAAGGCUCACCUAGGCGACGAUCAGUAGCGGGUCUGAGAGGAUGAUCCGCCACACUGGGACUGAGACACGGCCCAGACUCCUACGGGAGGCAGCAGGGGGGAAUUUUGGACAAUGGGCGAAAGCCUGAUCCAGCCAUGCCGCGUGUCUGAAGAAGGCCUUCGGGUUGUAAAGGACUUUUGUCAGGGAGGAAAUCCCUAGUGCUAAUAACACUGGGGGAUGACAGUACCUGAAGAAUAAGCACCGGCUAACUACGUGCCAGCAGCCGCCGUAA
rnacentral:rRNA from 1 species